CAGAGGAGACAGGUGGUGCAUGGUUGUCGUCAGCUCGUGUCGUGAGAUGUUGGGUUAAGUCCCGCAACGAGCGCAACCCUUGUCCUUAGUAGCCAGCAGUAAGAUGGGCACUCUAGGGAGACUGCCRGGGACAACCCGGAGGAAGGCGGGGAYGACGUCAAAUCAUCAUGCCCCUUAUGAUUUGGGCUACACACGUGCUACAAUGGCGUAAACAAAGGGAAGCGAGCCYGCGAGGGGGAGCGAAUCCCAAAAAUAACGUCCCAGUUCGGACUGYAGUCUGCAACYCGACUGCACGAAGCUGGAAUCGCUAGUAAUCGCGGAUCAGAAUGCCGCGGUGAAUACGUUCCCGGGUCUUGUACACAC
rnacentral:rRNA from 1 species